AAGGUAGCANAAUCAUUUGUUUUUUAAUUGAAAACUGGAAUGAAAGAGUCGACAUAGAAUAAACUUUUUUAUUACCAUAAAAAUUGACAAAAAGAUAAAAAGGUCUUAAUGUAUUAGAGGGACGAUAAGACCCUGUGAAAUUUCACUUACAAUCAUGUUUUACUUAUAGAAUCUAUCAUAUGUUAUAAGUUAAACUGGGGCGGUAUAUAUAAUUAACUAUUUAAAAUUAAACAUGUAAAUUUGGUAAAAUAGAUCCUAAAUAUAUAAAUUUAAAACAAAUUACUCCAGGGAUAACAGCACAAUUUCUUUAGAAAGAUCAUAUUGGUAAAGAAGUUUGUGACCUCGAUGUUGAAUUGGGGUAACAUACUUAAGCAAAAAUUUGUAAUGUUAGUCUGUUCGACUAUUAAACUUCC
rnacentral:rRNA from 1 species